GCAGACACAUUCCAGCCAAUCAGCAGCAGACCCUCCCUCCCAGACCCUCCCACCUCCUGGACAGCAUCCUUUUUACAUUCAUUGUGAAGCUGCAUUCUUAGUGAGCUGUCCAGGAGGUGGGAGGGUCUGGGAGGGAGGGUCUGCUGCUGAUUGGCUGGAAUGUGUCUG
rnacentral:miRNA from 1 species